CAGUCGCCACGGUAAUACGUAGGUGGCAAGCGUUGUCCGGAAUUAUUGGGCGUAAAGGGCUCGCAGGCGGUUUCUUAAGUCUGAUGUGAAAGCCCCCGGCUCAACCGGGGAGGGUCAUUGGAACCUGGGAAACUUGAGUGCAGAAGAGGAGAGUGGAAUUCCACGUGUAGCGGUGAAAUGCGUAGAGAUGUGGAGGAACACCAGUGGCGAAGGCGACUCUCUGGUCUGUAACUGACGCUGAGGAGCGAAAGCGUGGGGAGCGAACAGGAUUAGAUACCCCCGUAGUCCCUGUCUCUUAUAC
rnacentral:rRNA from 1 species